UUAAAGGGAUAGAAAAUUAAUAAUUAAAUAAAAUAAAAUAGUAAAAUCAGAAUUAAAAUAGAAAAUUAAGAUGGAUAGAUUUUAUGAAGUUCUAGAAAUUAUAAUGUCGAUAUUCGGGGAAAACAGAUCGCGAGGAAACAUUUCCUCUGAUCAGGGGAUGCUGCGGAAUUGAAACGUGAACAAUAAAUCGUUCAUCGAAGCCGAGAAACGGGCGGAUUUCCAAUCGACGCGAGAAAGUUUCAUUAUUUUUGCGAACAUUUUAACGAUGCCUCCCGCGUUGCGCAAUCUGUCACGCGGUUAACGUUGCAAAGCGUUCCCCGAUUGUACUGCAAAUGGUGGUUUAACGUUAUCAAACGUGCGCAUUUAAUUCCGACAUAUUAAUUCUUGUCCCUCGAGCCUUGUAAUUUUCGCGACAGCUGUACCGCAGAAAAUAUUUUCCAGUCCAUUGCAAUUAUCGUUGUUCCACGUCAGCCGGGCGAUGUAAUUCUGCAAAUUGUAAUUUUAAAAUCGAUUAAUUAAUGUCAAACGCGAGGAUUAGUCCGCGAUCUAAUAAUCGGCCGCCACGGUUAUUGUAAUUGAAUCCCGCGGGAAAUUAAUUCCGCGCGAACAAUUUCGGAAAAUUGAGGUCUUCCAUUCGACGGGACACUUACGAGAAUUAUAUAUAAUUUGUCGGCCGUCCGUCGAUCGAACGAACGAAAUUAAUUAACAGAGCCAUUAAUACGUUCGACAAGAUGUGCAAUAAUAAUUCAUACGGUCGAAUCGGUCCUCCCAUUGUUCCUGUAUCAUUUCCCAUCGAUGAAUGCGGAUUUCGGCAUGGAUAAUGGGACUGCGCUGCUUUCAGAUCCAGCUGGAUUAUCUUUUCUUUGAAAAUCAUUCGGCCGUGAUCGGAUUUCGUUUAACUGCGACGAUCAAUUAUCCCGUGACUUUUUCUUUGACGGAGUUCAAUCCUCCGGUCUGAAUCAAAUUUUUUAAUUAAACGAAUCCUGCCAUUCGCGGAUAAAGUAUACAUAUAGCCUGUUCGCUGGGGAAAAAAUGAUUUUUAUUUGAAAUAUUACCACCGGCACCAAAUUGUUUAUUUUACAAUCUUCUCACCCGACGAAUGCAAUUUUCGUUGAAUAUAAAUGCUCACGGUUUCGCAUCGAUGAAUUUCAUAUUUUCGUGAUAUCGAACAACUGUAAAUAUUUAUUGCAGACAAAGUAUCAUUCCAGGAAUGGUGAUGGAAGGUAUCGAAAGGUUAGUUAGCCAUGCAUAGAGUUCGUCGAAAUAAACAGAGCCGGCGGGGCGUCACGUAAGGGUUGCAAACGGGAUCGGAUGUGCCUUGUUAAUUUUUAACCAUGCCUUCGCGACCCAGACACGUAUAUCGAUGACACAGUCGACGAAAGCUAAUUCCUCUGCUUCGAGAUUACGGGGGAUCAUCGAUUCCAUCUCUCCAUUAAGGGUAGUAUAAAAAUUUCAAAAGCCCUCGAAAGCGAAUUUUUACAGCUUCUUCGAUCAUGAAACUUUGCACGGUUCAGGUUUACAGUAAAGAUAUCUCGGAAGGUGUUAUAACAUUAAAAAUGUAUUUAAAGGAAGGAGCAAGCUGACUAAAGUUUUCGACAUUUUGAAGAACGCGUGGAGAUUUUACAAACACCUCGAGGAUUUAUGAAAAAGGUUGAGAAUAGCGAAGAACGGCUCCCGAAUUUUGGAAAAUUCUACGAAGAACGCUUGAGCGUCCAAUGAAUAUUUAAAGAGGAUAUUCUUCGGCCGGCAUGGAGAAGGAACGGCGAAAGGGCGAACGAAAAAUCGGCCGCAGAAAUGUUCAAGUCGUUGCUAUGUGAAACGAAGAGAUACUUCGAAACCGAAGGAACGGAAUUACACGCGAAAACUGCGGAGGACGGGUCAGCUUUGGCGGAAAUGUCACGCCGGGGCCAAGUGUCGCAGAUAUAAGACGAAAAGGAAUUGCCGAUGUUUAUAAAUACCACUCGAUUCGAGCGAUACGAUAAUUGGACACUCCAUCUAUUCAAUUCCAUCGGUGCAUGCUGCAACGGUGCAGGCUGCAUCGGUGCAUAUUGAUUCGACCCCCUGUGCACGACCGCUUCUCGCUUACUGAAACCUUGUGUAUCACUAUAGAAAAUUACAGCGACUCCCGCAACGAGAACUAA